GCUGCCAUAGAGAGGGAGAGAGAGAGCGUGUUUUUAAAGCACCCAGUCCAGCCGGGCAUCGCCAUAGCACAAGCUUUACUCUACCCUUGAGUUGCAACUAAGUUGGCCGCUACUAAACUGUCUAACAAUGAAAAUUCUCAGCUCUAUGCAUGUUUGGCUUUUAACGCUCACCAUCUCUUGUUUUCUUUUGAUGGUUGUUGCUUACAAAGGCACAGAUUGUGAUAAGAAAGGCUAUGGGUGCUUAUAUCACACUAACUGCCCCAAGGAUCUAUAUUUACCUUACAAGGGGUGUGGAGGAUUUACUGUCUGCUGCAAGAUGAGCACGCUAAGUCAAUGCAAAUACAAGAGAGGAGAAUGCGUGAAAAAUUGCAAAGGCGAGGUGAUCUCUUAUGGAUACUGUUCAUGGAAAAGGAAGUGCUGUGUCACUAAUGCUCGGUAGGCCACUGCGGCUUUACUACUGUGGAUCGUAGUAAAGCCUGUGUCUACUGUGGAUCGUCAAAUAUAUUUUCAUACCUCUGCGAGCAAAUAA